CAUCCCACCAGGGUUUUUGCAAUUAGGCAUAGUGAUUGAAUUAGUUAACUUUGGAGAGAUGUGUUGGAGUCACCUAGACUUGUGAUCCGAAGCCUCCGUCUCUGGGAUGCCACAGUCUGACACGGGUUUGUAACCAGGAGGCAACUGUGUGGAGAGAGAGAGAGGGGUAGGUGAGGGAAUGAAUGCAUUGCAUAUGCUUUCUCUUCCUCUAUCUACAGGUACUUGAACCCUGAUUUUUCAGCAUCACCAUGAGUAUUGUGACCAUAACGCCAACACAAGGGAAAUGAAAAUGGGUCUUAAUAAUAUCAUUUGGGUCUGGAACCUAGUUGUGCCCCAAAGCCAGCGUCUAUCCUGGGCAUUUCUGAAAAAGAGGCUUCUCUCUAUCUCUCUCUCUCUUUUUUGAUUUAAGUGACUUCGAGUUGAAGUUUUAGUCCCAUGCAAGAGAAGGAGUUGUAACUGACACAGGAGCUUUGCACUGCCAGUAAAUUGCUUUGCUUUGCAGAAUGCAAAGCCAAGCUUCAAGAAGAAAGAAAAGAAGUGCUGGGAUGGCUCCUUUUUGAUUCUAGUUUCUUAUUUAUUUCUUGUUUUGUUGUUUUUGUAAAGAACAUAUAAGAAACUCUCCAACUGAAUGCCACAUGGUGCCUAGAUCCUAUCCUUCUUCAGCAAAAACGUUUUUCUGUUCUCUGGAUCGUUCCUGGAUACUGUAGUUCUAGAAAUGAAGACAUGGAGAGGGCUGGCUGGAGUCAAAUUAAAAAAAAAAAAAAAAAGCAAUCUGAAGGGGGUAGAAAUGAUCAAAGCAAAGAAAAAAGAGUGAAAUAUCCUAAUCUGAAGAUGAUUUCGUUUUCCAAAAGCUCCUAGCAAAUUGAGAAGGCAGCCAAAGGAAAGGCUUGUCUGGGAAGGUAUGCAUCAAAUAAAAGCAACGGCCAUGGAAACAGAAGGUCUGUCUUCUAAAAUGGAUUUCUGGCAGUGAAACUCACUGGCUAUAGCCAGCCCAGACCGAACUCCUUUCUUCAUCCUUGAAUGAAUCACUAUGGUCCCAGGGAUGUGAUGCUGUGCUUGGUCAGACUUGAGUCACCUGUCCACUUCUGGAUCUAUGGAGAUGAUGGACAUCACCCUGCUGAGAUUAUGGAAAGAGCAGUAUGGGGAAAAUCAGGAUGCAAAAGAAGAAUGAAUGGAAGUCAGGCAGGAAGUGUGUCUCUUUCUGAGAAGAUGGAUGCUCACCAAAAAAUAAAGCAUGUGGAAGGUAAAUCGGUGUUUUUGGAUGGAUGCCUUGUUGGAAGAAGACAAGAGGGUGGUCAUGCCAUUCUUACCUGACUUUCCCUUCUUCCACUUGAUACUCUGCCUUCAGAAGCAGGUGGAGUCCAAUUCUCAAUCAAUGGAAAGGCCCCUUACAGAGCUCCACCCGUAUUAGCAGAACAUGGACUGCCUGAUGCCUUUUAAAGAUAAGCUUCCUGCUGACGCUUUGCAACGGUUUACAAGCUGCAACCCUUAUGAAAUGUACUUCCACAAGCACAUCCCAAGGUCUUGUUCAAGAAAAUGGGAGCGGUGUUUCAUGAAAUACAAAUGACCUCAUAGGAUUGUUGUAAGAUUCAAGAAUUUAAAAUGAAUGCUUCCCGUGAUGUCUGGCCCAGAGUAAGUACUCAAUAGUAGUAUUACAGUCGUAUGAUUAUUAUUAAUGAGGGAUUUCGGUUUCCAAAACAGAAAACUCUAAAUAUGAUAUACCUGAUUUUUUUUUUUUUUUAAUCACAGGUACUUUAUCAGUGUUUGCCGGCUGGAAAUGUACAGAUUUCAGCUGUCAGUUAUGGGUAGAGGUUGGAAGUUUAUUGAGUGCCUACCACAUGUCUGGGCAUCCAUUAGGUUCUUUAACCAAAUUAUCACUACAUUUAAUGGUCACACCUGCUCAACAAAGUAGAUAUUAUUCUUCCAUUUGUAAAUACCAAAGUUGAGGCUCAAGGAUGACACGUGACCUGCCCAAGUUGUGUAGACACCCGGUCGUGAAAUGGGAAAUUUGGCUUGGAUUUGUUUUCCUCAAAGCCCUUUAUUAUUCUCAGUGGGUAUUCUACAAAUCAGGGAUCUGGAGGAAAUUUACAGUAGUCUACCUGAAAUCAAACACUUGACCAACGUGAGGUGAUGCAGGACUCAAUACUUUGGGGAAGUCCCAUUCCAACCCUACCAAAAAUCUUGCCUGUAUGGGAUUCACCUUGUUCUGCCACUUUGAAGCCUUGCAUUUAAUCCCUGUGCCCAAAGCACUUCCCCUGUAUCUUCUUCCUCAGCUAGCUCUCAUUCACUUGUCAGUCCUUUUCCUUGUCUGCCUCCCCAUCCUGCUGAGCAGGAGGCCAGCAUUGUAUCCCGAGCACAUAACACCUUGUGUUCCGUAGAUAUUUAUAGAUAAGUGAAUGGUAUCGUUUCAUGACUGGUUAUUUCUGCCCUAGAGUCGUAAAGAAAAGGAAAAUAAGGUUAUUAUUUAAUAAGCACCAUCUCUGUGAUACAUAAGAGUCUCAGAACAUGGUUUCAUGGAGUUUUUGGCAAUAACAUUGAAAAUUUCUGUGUAGAAUGAUGCCGGCCACUAAACUAUAAGGAAAGCUUUGGGCCACAGUGGAGAUUGUUGAAAAUGGCAGCCUAAUUUUGCCUGAGUCUUGAGGGUGUCUACAGAAUGGUGCACAGCUCUGCAGGUUCAGAAACUCUCUUUUUCACAGAACUGUAUCUUGACGAGAGGGUGGUGUUUGUGACGCCGCUCAAAGAAACCAAUUCACGUGAAUGCUGCUCAGUUAUAAUGGUUACUGUCUGUGGUGACUUCUUUUACCACGCUGUGUCCUAAGCACAUCUCACGUGUUACCUCUCAUUUUCCUGGUAUUUCUUUAGAGUACUGAUUAGUAUUUGCAUUACAAACGAGAGGGCAUGGCAUAAGCCCUGAGAAGUUUUGCCACUUGCCAAAGACCUGUAGCUAGUGAGUGGCAGAGCAAGAAGUUAAAUUCAGGUCUGUCUCUGAAGCUCAUUUUGCCUCACGGGGCUACCUGGUCAUCCAAGAUGGGAGCUCUCUCCCUCUUCUUUUUAUGGGAGUUGCAUUGUCAACGUAAUUGGUACUGGACAUGAAUGAAUAAGUUCUCUCUGAAAACUAUCCUUGUGAGAAGGAUACACACUGACCUUAAACUAAAAUUCAAGGCAAAUGUUCCUUUAAAGCUUUGUCCGCUCGGCUUAAUCAUGCUACCGGCUCAUCUUCCUCAAUGCCAAGAACAUUUUGAUGGUGAUAACAAGGAGCAGUUGUUAAUAUCUGAACAUCUAUUUCGGUGCUUAAUUCUGAAUCCAUGCUUAGCCUUUGAAAUCAAAUUCUCCUUAUGUUCCAUUUCUUUGUUUGAGAGUACCUCACAUUAGGCUUGUUUUAGUUCGACAUUAAUUAUAGUUUUGCACGCAGAGAGUAUCCCUGGUUUUGAGAGCCUGACUAACUUUCUCAGUGGUUGAGGGAUUAUUUCCUGCAAAGAUUUCCAUGGAUGAAUUCUUUGAUGCAUUUUAUUUUGAUCUUACCUAUUUCAGGGCAUAUCUGGAAGGCAAGGAAGAGCUGGGAAAAUUGAUUUUCUUGAGCCCAUCCUCAAAGACUGG